rnacentral:rRNA from 1 species
AUGCGCUUCUUGCUUAUUUCUGAUUGCACUCUGGGCGAUAUGAACUUUUCGAACCCUUUGGUUGACUUCGGUGAUCAAAACAAAAUUUGUAAUAGCUUCAGGAUUGCCGGUGCGGCUGCUUGGCACCCUGACCCUGUCGCUCAAGCAGAGUUUAUUUCCUCAUGCAAGUAUCCGUUCUCAAGUCCGAGGAUUAAUGCUCCACUCGACUCUGCUGAUGUUGACCACAUUACCAGAAAGAUGUUUCAAGGACUCCCCGCCCCUGGCAGUUUGCUGCGGCGUCAAUCUGUUGACAUGCCCAAGCUCUGCCGUCGUGUUCAAUAUAAAAUUGACCAAUGGAUGCACGAGUAUACAAGAAUCUCAAAGAAAGUCAAAGCAGCGCUUGCCUCAUACAGAGAACCCUUGUAUCUUCAUGUUAUUUGUGGCGUCAACCAUAAUGUGUCUGGCCCUGAGUACUGUAUAGAUGGUCACAAACCCGUUUACAUAUACCAGCAUACUCAUGUUAAUUUUUUGGCAAGUCGAAGAGAUGGAAAUCCAGAACUCUUCUUUGCUGAACUUAGCAACGAUGAGGCAGAGGAUGGAGGUGGGAAGGUUUUGUGUUGUCCUGUGAGCUUUCCACAGCCACGACAAGAAGAAAUCCGCUGUCUGUACUGUGAUUAUGAAGGUACUAAAAUUGUGCACCCGGCUAUGGAGGAAUUCCCAUUCAAAGGGCGUGACUCAGAGUUUCAGAAGAUGGUGUGUGGAAUAGAUCCCUACGAAGAUGAACCCUGUCCAGGCGUUUCGCAGUUCUACACCAACUGCACUAUCAUCAGGACCUCGUCCACGGCAUUAGAUUGUGUGGGACAUUUGGGAGUAGAUGACCGGAUCUAUACCGACUUUGAUGACGACAGUGAUGAGGAAGAUGACAGUGAUGAUUAUAGUUGUGAAUCCGAGUGA